rnacentral:lncRNA from 1 species
UGGAGCAGCAGCUGCAGGGUCUAAAGCUUGGGAUGGCCAAUCUGGAGAGCAGCCUGGGCACCAGCCUGCAGCAGUGUCUCUCAGGAGAAGUACAGACCCGCUGUGAGACUGAGGAUGGCUGUGGGUGGCCGCGUGUGCGCGAGGUCAGCUUCCCGCACCGUGUCCUGACCCAGCCCGUGAUUAUGCUGGGGCUGGUGGGGCUGAGCACUCGCGGCUCUGUGGGCAUCUCGGUGAGAGCUGUGGACGUCACGGAUUCUGGCUUCAAAAUACACAUCGCCAGCGUGGGCAACCAGACUCUGACCAGUGCCAGGGUCUCUUGGAUGCUGUGUGCCUAGACAGAAAGAUGUGAUGCGGCCCCUGGAGCAAGCAGCUGGGGCAAGGGGAGCCAGGGAUUACUAAGCUGGUGCCAUCUGCUUUCCUUGCACACAACUGUGGUUUGCUUUGGUUUUCUUUAAAGUAAUUACAGCUUACAAGGAGUCUGUGUAGAUGGGAUCCCAAUUAAUAGCCCUUCUCUUGGGAGCUGUGUACCCCGAUGUAAUGACAGGCUGAGCAGCCCCAGGCCUUGUUGAAGGCUCCUGGAAAGUGCAGCUGACAAGAUCUGUCUUAAACUUCCAAACCUAAGUGCCUAAACUGAGCCCACCAGCUAUAUGCACAUGUGCAGCUGUUUGUGUGUGCAUUCAGCCACUCUGCAUGUGCAGAUGUGCUGCGCACUCGCACGAAAAGAUGCACCACAUGGCUAAUUGUGAGGGAAGUUGAGCACCUGGGUCUGGAAAGUUGGCCUGUAAGCCUUUCUUUAGGGUUUUUUUGGUUUUAUUAUUUUCAGUAACAGCUGGAAUAUUCUCCUGCUGCCCAUUUAAGAUUCUACCCAGUGCUUUGCAUGUCAGAAGUGUUUAAAACUUUUAUGCAGAGAAGAUGCUAAUGGCGGGAUGCAGCCAAACUACCAAAGAUGUGGGACUACCUGUGUGUGUGUUUCCAGCUGAAAUUUCCUGGCUGAGCCAGUUUCUCCUGGCACAGUGUGAGCUUGCCUAUAUGUCAGAGGGCAUUGUUAGUCAGGGCUGCUCGUCCCUCGCAGAGCUAUGGCUUCUCGUACUCUGAGCCUUACCCAGGAAGAGAUGGACAGUCCUGCUAAGCUUUCUUGUGGUGUUGCAAGGUGGACUAAGACUACUAGCCUUCUCUGGACCUCUGAUCUCACCAAGUGAAACACUGGAGCGUUCAGACCGCUCCAGGUGUGUUUGCUUGUCUGCCUAAUUGUGCAGAAGGAAAGCAGCUGUAUUUUAAUGUGUACAGCUCUCUUAGAAGAAGGCUUUGGAGGCUGCUAAUGG